GAGAAAGACAGACACCUGCAGCCCUGCUUAACCACUCACAAAGCUUUCCCCCUAUAGCUGGGGCCAGGGCUCAAGCCUGGGACUUUAUGCAUUAUAAUAUAUGCACUCAACAAGGUGCACCACCACUUAGCCCCCUAACCCAUAUUUUCUUUUCACUUUCUCAGCUAUGUUGCUUUGGCUUUAAAUUUCCAAAAUGGACCUUUACACUUUCAAUUAGGCAUUUUUUAAAAAUUAAAGAAUGGAGGGCUUGAUGUUUCAGCAUUAUGAGUCAGCACAGAAAGUAAUAUUCAUGUCUGGUAUGAAGUAACACCAUCUGAGUACUAAGGACAUUCUCUUUUCAAACUCCUCACUAUAAAAAAAAAAAUCCACUAUCAGGCGGUAGCGCAGUGGGAUGGGUGCACAUGGCACAGAGCGCAAAGACUAGCAUAAGGCUCCGGGUUCGAGCCCUACCUGCAGGGGAGUCACUUCACAGGUGACUUUCUCCCUCUCACUCUCCUCCUACCCUCUUUAUUUCUGGCUUUCUAUACCCAAUAAAUAAUGAUAAUAAUAAUAAAGAAAACAUGAUAUUGUGUCUUUUUGGAUAUAGUACUAUAACGCAAUGAUUGAUUUCUUGCUAGUGAAAUAGAAUUUGCUGUAUGUUUUUACCAUGAGGAACUUUUGCAAAGUUUACAGGUGUAUUAUUAAAUAGAAUUCUAAAAUUGUUACAUUCUAAAGUUUUAGGAUUCUAUUUUUUUUUUUGAAAAAUCACAUAGGUAUAAUCAUGAAAGUUCUUUGAAAAAAUGUUCAGUGAUUUUUAGGUGUGUGUGUAUCUGUGUGUGUGUAGGGGGAGACAAGGGACUGGACAGCCUUGUGCUUUUAAUACUACCUCUGAAGAAAAACUUUCAAAUGGUUAGCAGUCUUUUGGGCACAUUCGCAAAGGACAGGACAGAUAGGACCCACUUCCUUCCCAGCAGUGUGAAGCUGACUACCAUGGCAACAACUCAACCCACUCCAUGCCAGAGAACAUCAGAACUGGUUUCCAAAGUCCUUAUUGGAAUUCUCCCAUGUCUCUGCAAAGCACUCUGUAAUUGCAAAUACUUAACCUGAAUUCAGCUAUUGUGACUUUGGAAGGCACAAGUCUGAGUCUUAUCUUUGUAUUCUCACCCUUCUAUGAACACUUCUCUAUCAAAAUGAAAAUACUUUCCUACAAAAGCUGCUUAAACCGCACACAGAGACUUAGGUUUCUGAUAGAUGAUUCAAGGUGGCAUAACAACGAUUCUUGAUAAUUUAUGCAUAUUUAAACUAUCAGGGAAUCACUACAGAGUAUAUUUAUGUUAGUGAUGGAUUUAGUUUUCUGUUCUCUUUGGAAUCACUUCCUGUUUAUCACAGAGUCAUCAUUUAUUAUACAUGGGAGCAAUUGCUUUACAAACCAACUGGAAUGUUUGCUUUACUGUUGCUAUAACAGUUAAGCUACUCCAUAUGCUUUUCAGUGUCACGGUCAGUGUUCUGUUCAUGUAUCAAUAGCAGAAGCAUAUUCGUAUUAUAAGUAUCAUCUGGAGAAGCAGCCAACGUCCUUGAAAAUACAGCUUUCCCUUUUGCAUGUACACAACAAGGUGCUUUCCGAGUAAGAUCAGAGCCUGCCACGAAAAGGCUGAUUCAUAGUGUUUCAGCUGUUUCCUUCAGAUUCAAGUAUGUUUUUACCAGAGGUAAAAACAGGGGCAGACAUUUGCUUCCAGUAGAGUUGAAGUGAUAGCCUAUUAUAACAACAUUUUCUGGAAGCCAUCUUUUUACUUAUCCAACUUUUCUUUAUUCUUGGGACUAGCAAAGUGUAGUUCUCUGGUAUAUCUGACUAGCUUUUAGUAGAAGCAUUGCUAUUAGGGUCAUCUCCUGUGAUGUUGCACUUCACAUUCUUCUAGGAUAUUGAAUGCUUCCAGAGUCUUUAACUGGAAACUACUUGUUCACUGAUGGUUCCCUUAAUGAUGCCAUGCACACCUGUUGGGAAUACACACACACACAUGCACACACACACAUGCACACACAUACAUUUACUUUGUAUUUCUUCAUGUGCAUAUAAAACCACGUGAAAUACAAAUUUAUAUGAAGCCAUUCAUUCCCACAGUUCAGAUGCUAAACUGAAAACAUGGAAUUUUGGUGGCUGCAUAUUUAGAAAUGUACUGAUGGUUGAAUUCAAAUUUCUAGGAAAAAUAGUUUCUUCAUAAUGAGAAUAAUCACAUCGUGAUGGCAAAGUUCUCAAGUGAAAUUAAAAGAGCAGUCUGUAAAAAAGAACUCCACUUUAUGGUUUUUUGAGUAUUACUUUUAAAAGACAGUCUCUUCAAAGAAAAUCAAGAUGAGAAAUAAGGAGAGUAUUGAAAUAUAAUAAAUCUGUCUAACCCACAUCUAUAUCUAUCCAUGAGCUUUUUUUUUUUUUGUAACUGUGUGAUUGUAGGGAUUCUAGUGGCUACCUCCAUCCCACUAUGAGAUAGCGAGAGAGGGAGAGACAAAAGACACCAUGAUACUCUACCACUCAUGAAACCGUGCUUCCAUUUGGUGGCUGGGGACUUGGCACUGGGUCCUCCUGAGCAAGGAAUAUGUACCCUUGUGGGUGAAUUGUCUGUCUUCUUGCCCCCAAGUCUACAAAUUUCAGUGUUUAUUUCUUAAAGAUUUUUCUGGAGGGCCAAAGACACAUGUAAAAGGAAACAUUAUUUGGCAGAUUUCUAUCUGUGUCAGGAAUUAAAUUACACACAUAUAUGUAAAUGUAUUAAUAUAAAUACACAGCAAAGGUAUGGUAAAACCACUGUGCUGCCCGUUUUUGUGUUACUUGAUUUAUACCUCAAAAGUAAGUUAGAGACAAAGAUAAUAUGCAGUCUAUUGAAUGUUGUUUAUAAAUAUGGAAAUAUUGACAAGACCAUAGGAUAAGAGGGCUACAACUCCACACAGUGCCCACCCCCAGACUUCCGUAUCUCUUCCCCUCCCCUGAUAGCUUCCCUAUCCUUUAUCCCUCUGGGAGUAUGGACCCAGGAUCAUCGUGGGAUGAAUAAAUAUGAUUUUAUAUGUUUCUCAAUAAUUGAGAGCUGUUAAGAAUUUUUAUUGUUAGAAAGUAUUCUCUUGUGAUAUGUUUAUUAAUUAGGUCAAUUAUUUUUGUUCCUACAGUUUAUUUCCUAGAAAUGCUCUUUAGUGCCAUGUGUGAGUGUCCAUGGAGGAUAUAGGAGCAAAUAAGAUAGCACUGACUCCUUUUCCGGUCAUGGCUGUAGACAGCAGUUGGGAGAAAUACUACUCAUCUUAGGAACACACAAUGUUGGAACACGGGGAAGGGUGUAGAUAAUGAAGAUAGUUUGUGGUCAUUCAUAGUUUUGGGUGACAGACAAAUGGAUAAUGUUUAGGUUCUUAUUUAAAUAGUUUAGCGAUGGUAUCAUUUUCUGAGAUAGAAAAAAAAAAGUGAAAGUAUUUUGUGUUUAAGACAAUGAAUCGAGUUCUGUUUAAAACUAAGGUGUCUAUUAAACAUCCCACUGAAGAUGUCAAGUGGGUGACAUGGAUGCAGAUAACUGAGGGUUCACGAAAGUUAGCGUGGAGUUAAAAGUAUCCUGCUGGCUAGAAGGAAGACAAACAUUGUGGAUCAAAAUGAUCUACAGGAUUACAAGAGAAUGCAGCUGUCUUUUGCCUCAUUCUUUCACAAAUUUAGAGUGUUCCAGAAGCAAGCCAAAUGACCUAAGAUGCAGAAGCAGAGCAGUCAACUCUCUUCCUUUGUUUCCUAAGUUUCCUAAGUUUCCAAAAUGUUUAAAGCUAUGGUGUGCUUUGUAUUACUGCUCUGUAGUUAUGACUGUAGUUAGUUUAAAAGGUGUAUUUGAAUAUGUAGUCAGUAUAUACUUUUUUAGUUCUCAGUUUUAAGAUCCACUGGAGUAAACAUCAAUAUAUGAAACCCACUAAGCAAAGAAUAGUUUAUGUUCUUGAAAGUUUGAGAGGUUCAGAGUCUAAAUGUUUGAGCACCACUUCCCAGAGCGAUAUGCUAUGAAGACAUUUAUGAUCGCACGUUUAGGAAAGAAGCAAGAUGAUGUUAACUGAAGGUUAAAAAUAAUAGAUAUAUACUCCCUUCUUCCUAAAUGCCACAGAAUUGGCAUCAUGGUAUAUCUAUCAUCAACCUCUUUGUUAAUUAGAAGUAAAUAUAGGGAGUCGGGCGGUAGCACAGCGGGUUAAGGGCACAUGGCGCAAAGCACAAGGACCAGCUUAAGGAUCCCAGUUCUAGCCCCGGCUCCCCACCUGCAGGGGAGUCGCUUCACAGGCAGUGAAGCAGGUCUGCAAGUGUCUGUCUUUCUCUCUCCCUCUCCAUCCACUCUUCCCUCUCAAUUUCUCUCUGUCCUGUCAAUUAAAAAAAAAAAAAGUAAAUACAUUUGUGUUAAGGCUGGAAUUUAAAUCCUGAACAAAUAACCAAUACAGAUAAACAAUUAGCAAGUAAAUGCAUGGGGGGGGGGGUCCUGAUUAUUUUGUUCAUCCCAAUCCAUUCCACAGCAUGAAUGUUAUCCUGAGAGGAUUCUGAGGAUUCUGUCUGCACACUUUCUCAUGUUCAAGAUUUGGAAGUUGGGAGUCAGGCGGUAGCGCAGCGGGUUAAGCGCAGGUGGUGCAAAGCGCAAGGACUGGUAUAAGGAUCCCAGUUUGAUCCCCUGGCUCCCCUUCUGCAGUGAAGCAGGUCUUCAGGUGUCUGUCUUUCCCCCUCUCUGUCUUCCCCUCCUCUCUCUAUUUCUCUCUGUCCUAUCCAACAGUGAUGACAAUAGUAACUACAACAAUAAAACAACAAAGGCAACAAAAGGGAAUAAAUAAAUAAAUAAAUAUUG